UACGUAGGGGGCUAGCGUUGUCCGGAAUCAUUGGGCGUAAAGAGCGUGUAGGCGGUCCGGUAAGUCCGCUGUGAAAGUCGGGGGCUCAACCCUCGAAUGCCGGUGGAUACUGUCGGGCUAGAGUGCGGAAGAGGCGAGUGGAAUUCCUGGUGUAGAGGUGAAAUUCGUAGAUAUCAGGAGGAACACCAGUGGCGAAGGCGGCUUUCUGGACGGUAACUGACGCUGAGGCGCGAAAGCGUGGGGAGCAAACAGG
rnacentral:rRNA from 1 species